GGGGAAUUUUGCGCAAUGGGCGAAAGCCUGACGCAGCAACGCCGCGUGAGUGAUGAAGGUCUUCGGAUCGUAAAGCUCUUUCGGCUGGGACGAAAACGGUCUGGCUAAUAACCAGGCCCUUGACUGUACCGGAAGAAGAAGCACCGGCUAACUCUGUGCCAGCAGCCGCGGUAAUACAGAGGGUGCAAGCGUUGUUCGGAAUUAUUGGGCGUAAAGCGCUUGUAGGCUGUGACGUAUGUCGGGUGUGAAAGCCCUCGGCUCAACUGAGGAAGUGCGCCCGAAACUACGUUGCUCGAGUGCUGGAGAGGGUAGCGGAAUUCCCGGUGUAGAGGUGAAAUUCGUAGAUAUCGGGAGGAACACCAGUGGCGAAGGCGGCUACCUGGACGGACACUGACGCUGAGACGCGAAAGCGUGGGGAGCAAAC
rnacentral:rRNA from 1 species